rnacentral:lncRNA from 1 species
AUGGGGCCGCUACCUGUGCGCCUGCCAAUCAAGCUGCUCCUGCGGCUCCCGUAGCUGCUGCUGCUGCUGCUGCUGCUUGAACCUGGCCCCAGGUCCGGCGAGGCCUCCAGGAUAUUAUGUGUGCACCGGCGUGGGAUCCUGGAACUGGCAGGAAUUGUGGGUUGUGUUGGUCCCUAGACUCCCAUCGCCUAUACGAAAUAUGGUUCCUUUUGUGGCUUGGGAGGCCAUGGCCAGCCCUGCGAUGCCAUUGACUGGUGCUGCCAUGGCCACGACUGUUGUUACACUCGAGCUGAGGAGGCCGGCUGCAGCCCCAAGACAGAGCGCUACUCCUGGCAGUGCGUCAAUCAGAGCGUCCUGUGCG